UACGGAGGGUGCGAGCGUUGUCCGGAAUCACUGGGCGUAAAGGGCGCGUAGGCGGCCUGAUAAGUAGGGGGGUGAAAUCCUGCGGCUUAACCGCAGGGCUGCCUUCUAAACUGUCAGGCUAGAGCACAGUAGAGGCAGGUGGAAUUCCCCGGUGUAGCGGUGGAAUGCGUAGAGAUCGGGAAGAACAUCAGUGGCGAAGGCGGCCUGCUGGGCUGUUGCUGACGCUGAGGCGCGACAGCGUGGGGGAGCAAACAGG
rnacentral:rRNA from 1 species